AGGUAGUGACAAGAAAUAACAAUACAGGGCAAUUGUCUUGUAAUUGGAAUGAUGGUGACCUAAACCCUCACCAGAGUAACAAUUGGAGGGCAAGUCUGGUGCCAGCAGCCGCGGUAAUUCCAGCUCCAAUAGCGUAUAUUAAACUUGUUGCAGUUAAAAAGCUCGUAGUUGAAUUUCUGCGUUAUCGAGUUAUUGACUCUUGUCUUUAAUCGAUUUCGCUUUUGGGAUUUAUCCCUUUUUACUUUGAGAAAAUUAGAGUGUUUCAAGCAGACUUUUGUCUUGAAUACUUCAGCAUGGAAUAAUAGAGUAGGACUUUGGUUCUAUUUUGUUGGUUUUUGAACCUUAGUAAUGGUUAAUAGGAACG
rnacentral:rRNA from 1 species